rnacentral:rRNA from 1 species
AAUUAAGUUACUAAGAGCACACGGUGGAUGCCUUGGCGUCAAGGGCCGAUGAAGGGCGUGGAAAGCUGCGAUAAGCUCCGGGGAGCUGCCUCAAGCACUAGAUCCGGAGAUACCCGAAUGGGGAAACCCACCCAGGGGAAUGCCUGGGUACCCCUGGCUGAACAAAAUAGGCCAGGUGGAGGGAACCGGGGGAACUGAAACAUCUUAGUACCCCGAGGAAAAGAGAUCAUUCCCUGAGUAGUGGCGAGCGAAAGGGGAAGAGCCCAAACUUGCGCAACUCAGUGGUCCAGUGCCUAUGUUGCGCGGGGGUUGUAAGGCCCAGCUGGGUGAACUGGUAAGCCCAAGGAGUUACAAAUCUGGUCUGUAGUCGAAGUGUCUGGGAAGGCAUGGCAUAGAGGGUGAUACCCCCGUAGGCGAAACGGAUCCAGACUCCUGCUGGUGACCUUGAGUACCACCGGGCACGCUAAUCCGGUGGGAAGCUGGGAGGUCCACCUCCCAAGGCUAAAUACACUUGGCGACCGAUAGUGAACAAGUACCGUGAGGGAAAGGUGAAAAGAACCCUUGUUAAGGGAGUUAAAAGAACCUGAAACCGUGUGCUUACAAGCAGUCGAAGGACUAUGCCAGGUCCGAGUCUUGCCUUCGGGCGAGCCGCUGGAAGGUCUGACGGCGUGCCUUUUGGAGAAUGAGCCGGCGAGUUACUCUCUGUGGCGAGGUUAAGGGAGGUACACCCGGAGCCGCAGCGAAAGCGAGUCUGAAUAGGGCGAAUUGGUCGCAGGGAGUAGACACGAAACCAGGUGAGCUACCCAUNNAGCGAAGCUAACCCUUCGUGGAGGGCCGAACCCGUUACAGUUGCAAAUGCAUGGGAUGAGCUGUGGGUAGAGGUGAAAUGCCAAACGAACUCGGAGAUAGCUGGUUCUCCCCGAAAUAGCUUUAGGGCUAGCGUCACGCGUUUAGUGCCGGAGGUAGAGCACUGGAUCGGCUAGGGGGCCUCACAGCUUACCAAACCGUACCAAACUCCGAAUGCCGGUACUUGAGAGCGUGGCAGUCGGACUACGGGAGAUGAGUUUCGUGGUCGAGAGGGAAACAGCCCAGAUCGCCAGCUAAGGUCCUCAAGUCUAGGCUAAGUGGGAAAGGAUGUGGGAUUACUGGGACAGCCAGGAGGUUGGCUUAGAAGCAGCCA